AAGAAAUCAUUAAAGUCUAGGUAGACAAAUGUAAGAGGGACUCUCCCAUUGCCCACAAGUGAGCUCAAUCUAGAGAAGACCCAAACGAUACUGCAGAGGGGUGAAAGCUAAAUGGGGGAAGGACUAGUAUGGUGAGGGUAACCAGUGUGAGGGUUUAGGAAGGCUCUUAGAGGAAGGAACACUGGAGCUGUGUCUUGGAAAAGGCAGAAGAGGAGGCUACAAUCCCUGGGGUUAUCAAUAACAUCUUGAAUGCCAUCUGUCAUGAAUAUAAUUUCCCAGAGAACUGUACUGAAAAGGAUUCUGAGAUGGUACCUGGGAUCAAUGGCCUACAGGUUAAUCCCAGAGCUAGUCUAUGGCCAUACCUCUAGGCAAGAUCUCCAGGAAAAUUGGGUCCUCCUUGACUAAUGAAGUUCAACUGGACUCUGGCCUCCAUUUAAUUGCCCAGCAUGCCAAUUCUUCCUGACACUCUUCCUAGCCCCCACCCCGAGCAUGGUAUCCUAAUCUCUGUACCCCCAAAUAGCUGGAGGCGUCUUAAUGUGAAGCAACUGACCCUCCAGAAGAGCAAUGACCAUCUGGCUUUGGGUAUUUCCUACCAUAUCACUUCGUGCCAUGGUGCUCACCUGCCAAGUUAGCGUCUAUGGACAGUGACGCCUGCCUGAAUGAAGCCUGAACCCAUCUCAGGUCUCAGAUGCAGCCCAUAGGAGAGCUGCCUACCCAGCAGGGGCUAGUUCCUCAACCGGGUCUAUUUCCUCAAUGCCCUGCCCCACCCAAUCUCCUGGCCUUCCCCUUCCCCACCAGCUGAUGUUGAUGAGGACUCAGCGGGCCUGCCUUGAGCCAAUCUGCAAUAUGACCCAACAAAAUGUACUCUCCCUGGGCUGAACCCAUGUCUACAUACAGGAAGAAAAAUCAUGCUGAUCCCCUAUUCUACCAUGUGCCCCUGUGGAACACUGGGGCUGAGUGCUCUAGGAAGCCCACAAAGCAAAUUUAAUUCUAUCUACAUAUGAUAGCCCUUCACAUCUUGAAAACAUUUCUCACGCCUUCCUUGAACCAUCUUCUCAAGCACAGAUUACAAACACUAUAAACGCUCAAAUUGGCACAACUACAAUCCGUGCUACUUAGCUUUGUGCAGGCUCAAAGUACUUAGCAGUUCCUUUGUGACAGUCCUUGCUGCUCUCUCACAACCCUGUGCAGUACUUACUCCCACACCACACACAUCUGCCUCCACCACCGUCCAUCCAAAGUGGAACCAUUGCCUUUAAUGCCCAUUCUUGGCAGGGAAAGCCUUUUUCUGUUUCUGGGCCCAGGUGCUCCCACACAUCAACUUCCGGUAGAAAUUAGGCACCUACCUCUGUCACGACCUUGCCUGGAUAGUGCCCUUGUUCUGACAUGGGUUUCUCUCACUCUUCCAUGUGGCCUGUGGCCUUGGGCCAGGCUCUAUAAUUUUGAUCCCAGAACACUGGUCCACUUUGUUUGCCCUCUGGAGGGGAUCCUCAGGCCCCUGUCUUCUGCCUUUGUUCUCUAUUUUUUUUUUUUUACCUCAAAGGGACUUGUUGCUAUUUUCCAGCACCCCUCACCUUCAACGCAGAGACUCUCGCUUCUCUUUACUCUCACCCCCAACCUUCCCUUCUGCUCCGGACUGAUUAUUAUUCUUUCACAAACCAGCCCCAUUCCACGGGUCAUAGAGACACAUGCAGGGUGGGUCCCACUGACUUCCACCGGUCAUUGCCUUCUGUUACCAGCCUGUUUUCAACGCGGAAUGAUCCCAUUUUCAGGGAGCACACCACAGUUACGUGAAGAUCAACCCUCCCCACUGGUUGUAAAAAAUGGUUUCCGUUUUCCCUCAUCUCCGAGUGAGAAGCUCUAACACCUGCGAUCAGCCAGCAAUGUUGUCAUACUUAACUUCAGCGCCAGUGAACGGGAAAUCAGCAACUGCUACAACUGUGGAUUCGAACCAGCAACCACUGUAACCCCCAGAAUUAAGAUAACGGUUGUUGGAAAAGAAAGCGGGCUUUGGGAUUCACCAUCGUUUCUCAUCCUGACUCUGCUGCUUACUAGUUAUGUGCCUUUGGUAAAAACGUCAUGAAGUAAUAAAACCUUUGUGAACCUCA